UAUUCUCAUUCAAAAAAAUUAAAAAAACUAAUGCAGCAGCAGACUAAAUUAAUCAAGCCGUAAAAUCAAAAACCUCCCGCAAACCAAAACCUCCAGUAAAACCUAAACCUAAACAUUCUACUCUAUCUUCUGCAAAUACUUAACCAUAAUCGUGCAAAACCUAAACCUUUCUAACAAAACCCCCGAAUCCAAUCUCCCGGAAAACUUAGACCAUAAUCACGCACCACCACCAGAUCACCGCUGCACCACCAGAUCACCGCCGCUGUACCGCACUACUGUUCGUUGGAUCCCCUCUCCUUCUACCUCUCCCUCUCCCUCUCUCUCUAAUCAAAAUCCCCAAUUCAUCUAGCGCUUUCGGGCGAUUGUUCGUUGACUUUGUACACCAGCGUCGAGGGAGAUGGUGUUGAGUUUUGGCCUUAUGGUCAGACUUACUUCAAUAAGCCUUCUGGCAGGUAUUGUGAUGGUCUUGUCAUCCCGGAUUUCUUAGCUCAAUUUGCAGGUUGGCCACAUUUGCGGACGUAUAUGCAACCAGGCCCUAAGAAUUAUUCCCAAGGAAUGAAUUUUGCUGCUGCGAGUGCUUGUGUGCUCGUUGAAACUCGUCCUGGCAAGGGUUGUUUUAUAUAUCAAGAAAGAAUUCAACUUGCAGAGUGCACCAACUUUGGAAGGCUUAAUUGUGACUAUGGCACUAGUUGGAGCAACUCUAAUCACAACAUGUUGCGGACCGAUUUCAGAUCGUGUUGGUCGUCGCCCGAAUUUGAUAACCGUUUUAUAUUCCUUCCUCAUUUUCUGAUUUUAGGAAGGGAAUAAAUGACGCUUAUCUCUUAUCAAUGUACUUUAUUACUAGGUAUAUAAAACGCUUCUUUUACCCGUUUUAUAAACUUUAUAGCGCGCUGAGUUGAAGAACGCCUCUGAAGCGUCCUAUAAAGUGUAUUUCGACAGUACUCUAUGCCCUUUUUUGUAGUAGUGGCGGGCACAAGCAUAUGUUCUCCUCCAACACUGUUUGGCUGGUUUCCAAAUGUGAACUUCCCUUACACCUUACCUUCAACAAGAAACAAACCUGCAUUAACAACGAAAUUAAAUUUAGAAAACAAGUAAUAUCAGUUGGAUGUCUCGAAGCAGAAUUACACAUUAUUAGUUAAAAGAAAGUAAGAAACCAUCAAAGCAGUUUUCUGGCAAGUUAGUGCAAUACACUCAAAGCAUACAUCUAUUCACAAUAUAUGUCUACCUUUCUAGAAGGUGCAGCAAACUAAAGGUGUUACCAUCAGGAACUUUGACGGAGAAAAUCUGAGCUUAUACGGAAAAAAUGUUGUAGUUAAUCUAUGACACGUUUAAACAUGCCUUCUGAUAAAAGAACACAAAAAAAAAAGGAAGUUUGAUAGAGAGCUCAUGUUGCCACCAAUACACAUUUCAAAAGCUUCGGCUCCUUUGCUCAACCUAUUGGCAACAAAGUCCAUCCAAUCCCCUCUAUCACAAAAGCCCCGUUAUUCCUUCUGUACAAGUAAAUAUAAUAAAUUAAUAAUGUUAAUAACUGUUCUAUAAUUAAUGUACUGAGGUCAUGCCAGUUGCAAGUAAUGAUUUUAUGUAGCAGUUAACUGCUAU